GACGAACGCUUGCGGCGUGCCUAAGAAAUGCAAGUCGAGCGAAGUUCAGGGGUGCUUGCACUCCGAAGACUUAGCGGCGAACGGUCGCGUAACACGUAAGCAACCUGCCCUAAAGUUUGGGAUAGCCCACCGAAAGGUGGAUUAAUACCGGAUGUGUACAAUUUUUCGCAUGUUAAAUUGUUUAAAGCAGCAAUGCGCUUUAGGAUGGGCUUGCGGCCUAUCAGCUAGUUGGUGUGGUAACGGCUCACCAAGGCGACGACGGGUAGCUGGUCUGAGAGGAUGAUCAGCCGGAUUGGGACUGAGAUACGGCCCAGACUCCUACGGGGGCAGCAAUUAGGAAUCUUGCGCAAUGGGCGAAAGCCUGACGCAGCGACGCCGCGUGACUGAUGAAAUCCUUCGGGAUGUAAAAGUCUUUUCUGGUGAAGAAGGAUGUGACUGUAGCCAAGGAAUAAGCUCCGGCUAACUACGUGCCAGCAGCCGCGGUAAUAUC
rnacentral:rRNA from 1 species